rnacentral:rRNA from 1 species
UAGGGAAUCUUCGGCAAUGGACGAAAGUCUGACCGAGCAACGCCGCGUGAGUGAAGAAGGUCUUCGGAUCGUAAAACUCUGUUGUUAGAGAAGAACAAGGGUGAGAGUAACUGUUCACCCCUUGACGGUAUCUAACCAGAAAGCCACGGCUAACUACGUGCCNG